rnacentral:rRNA from 1 species
CAUGCAAGUCGAGCGGUAACAGAGAGUAGCUUGCUACUUUGCUGACGAGCGGCGGACGGGUGAGUAAUGCUUGGGAAUAUGCCUUUUGGUGGGGGACAACAGUUGGAAACGACUGCUAAUACCGCAUAAUGUCUACGGACCAAAGUGGGGGACCUUCGGGCCUCACGCCAAAAGAUUAGCCCAAGUGGGAUUAGCUAGUUGGUAAGGUAAUGGCUUACCAAGGCAACGAUCCCUAGCUGGUUUGAGAGGAUGAUCAGCCACACUGGGACUGAGACACGGCCCAGACUCCUACGGGAGGCAGCAGUGGGGAAUAUUGCACAAUGGGCGCAAGCCUGAUGCAGCCAUGCCGCGUGUGUGAAGAAGGCCUUCGGGUUGUAAAGCACUUUCAGUAAGGAGGAAAGGGUAGUCUUUAAUAGAGGCUAUCUGUGACGUUACUUACAGAAGAAGCACCGGCUAACUCCGUGCCAGCAGCCGCGGUAAUACGGAGGGUGCGAGCGUUAAUCGGAAUUACUGGGCGUAAAGCGUACGCAGGCGGUUUGUUAAGCGAGAUGUGAAAGCCCCGGGCUCAACCUGGGAACUGCAUUUCGAACUGGCAAACUAGAGUGUGAUAGAGGGUGGUAGAAUUUCAGGUGUAGCGGUGAAAUGCGUAGAGAUCUGAAGGAAUACCGAUGGCGAA